UAAGGAAUAUUGCUCAAUGGGAGAAAUCCUGAAGCAGCAACGCCGCGUGGAGGAUGAAUGUCGUAAGAUUGUAAACUCCUGUUAGAGGGGAAGAAUAGUACCGGUUGGACCGGUAUAUGACUGUACCCUCAGAGAAAGCCCCGGCUAACUACGUGCCAGCAGCCGCGGUAAUACGUAGGGGGCAAGCGUUGUCCGGAUUUACUGGGUGUAAAGGGCGCGCAGGCGGGAUAAAAAGUCAGUGGUGAAAUCCUACAGCUUAACUGUAGAACUGCCUUUGAUACGUUUAUUCUUGAGUUCGGGAGAGAGAGACGGAAUUCCAGGUGUAGUGGUGAAAUACGUAGAUAUCGGGAAGAACACCUGUUGCGAAGGCGGUCUCUUGGUCCGACACUGACGCUGAGGCGCGAAAGCGUGGGGAGCACACA
rnacentral:rRNA from 1 species